rnacentral:rRNA from 1 species
UGGGGAAUUUUGGACAAUGGGGGAAACCCUGAUCCAGCCAUCCCGCGUGUGCGAUGAAGGCCUUCGGGUUGUAAAGCACUUUUGGCAGGAAAGAAACGUCAUGGGUUAAUACCCCGUGAAACUGACGGUACCUGCAGAAUAAGCACCGGCUAACUACGUGCCAGCAGCCGCGGUAAUACGUAGGGUGCAAGUGUUAAUCGGAAUUACUGGGCGUAAAGCGUGCGCAGGCGGUUCGGAAAGAAAGAUGUGAAAUCCCAGAGCUCAACUUUGGAACUGCAUUUUUAACUGCCGGGCUAGAGUGUGUCAGAGGGAGGUGCGAUUCCGCCUGUAGCAGUGAAAUGCGUAGAUAUGCGGAGGAACACCGAUGGCGAAGGCAGCCUCCUGGGAUAACACUGACGCUCAUGCACGAAAGCGUGGGUAGCAAACAGG